rnacentral:lncRNA from 10 species
GCCGCCACCGCCUCAGGGAAGAGGAAGGAGGCCGCGGCUUCGCGUCCCGCCUCUCGCCUGGCUGGCCGUGGGGGGCCUGGACGCAGUGGCCUCCCGAAUCUCCCAGGACCCUAAUAUCGCCCGAGGAUGCUGGGAGGAACGCUGAGCCGACCUCUCCGUUAGGCUGAAGAUUGCACAAACCAUGCUAAUGGCCAGCAUGGAUGGAGGGAGCGUGUGAGAUGUGUGGGGCAGCGUGCUGCAUCUCAGCCAACUCCAGGAGCCAGUUGAUGUGAUGGACUACCUUAAUUGAUUUUUGAAUGUUGAGCCAGCCUUAUGCAUGUGGGAUAAACCCCUGUUGAUCAUGGCUGGCUGGAGUGCAGUGGUGCAAUCAUGGCUCACUGCAACCUCAAAUUCCUGGGCUCAAGGGAUCCUCCUGCCUCAGCCUCCCAAGUAGCUAGGACUACAGAUGGAACGAAGUCUGUUUGUGGAAACACCCUUCCCCUCUGUUUACUUGGACCUGAUUUUGAAAGUAACAAGUCACUUUAUUUGGGCUGGAGGAAAAAGCACUAAACCAGAUGUUGAGGUGACCGGG